rnacentral:rRNA from 1 species
UGAUGCAGUGUCUUCACGGGACGAACAGAGGGAGCGUGCCUGAUUAGCCUGCAACGUCGAGCAGAAUCAGAGAGGCGAGCCUUGCUCGAUUCUGACGUCUAGCGGCGGACGAGGUUGAGUAACCACGUGGGGCAACCUAUCGUUAUAUUUUGGGAUAUCUCCGGAGAAACUGGGGAUAAUACCGAUUAUUCUGUUUCACAUCAUGGUGAGAUAGCAGAGGACGUUUUGGCCUGUCGCGAUAGAAUGGGCCCGCGUCGCAUAGCUAGUUGGUGAGGUAACGGCUCACCAAGGCGACGAUGCGUAGCUGACCUGAGAGGGUGAUCGGCCACACUGGGAUGAGACACGGCCCAGACUCCUACGGGAGGCAGCAGUAGGGAAUCUUCCACAAUGGGCGAAAGCCUGAUGCAGCAACGCCGCGUGAGUGAAGAAGGCUAUCGGUUCGUAAAACUCUGUUGUAAGGGAAGAACAAGUACUGUAUUAACCGGCUGUACCUUGACGGUACCCUAUGAGAAAGCCCCGGCUAACUUCGUGCCAGCAGCCGCGGUAAUACGUAGGUGGCAAGCGUUGUCCGGAAUUAUUGGGCGUAAAGCGCGCGCAGGUGGUUUUUUAAGUCUGAUGUGAAAGCCCACGGCUCAACCGUGGAGGCUCAUUGGAAACUGGGAGACUUGAGUGCAGAAGAGGAUAGUGGAAUUCCAAGUGUAGCGGUGAAAUGCGUAGAGAUCAGGAGGAACACCAGUGGCGAAGGCGACUAUCUGGUCCGUAACUGACACUGAGCGCGAAAGCGUGGGGAGCAAACAGGAUUAGAUACCCUGGCAGUCCACGCCGUAACGAUGAGUGCUAAAUGUUAGGGGGUUUCCGCCCCUUAGUGCUGCAGCUAACGCAUUAAGCACUCCGCCUGGGGAGUACGGUCGCAAGACUGAAACUCAAAGGAAUUGACGGGGGCCCGCACAAGCGGUGGAGCAUGUGGUUUAAUUCGAAGCAACGCGAAGAACCUUACCAGGUCUUGACAUCCCGUUGACCACUGUAAAAAUAUGGUUUCCCCUUCGGGGGCAACGGUGACGGGUGGUGCAUGGUUGUCCUCAUCUCGUGUCGUGAGAUGUUGGGUUAACUCCCGCAACGAGCGCAACCCUUGAUCUUAUUUGCCAUCAUUUAGUUGGGCACUCUAAGGUGACUGCCGGUGACAAACCGGAGGAAGGUGGGGAUGACGUCAAAUCAUCAUGCCCCUUAUGACCUGGGCUACACACGUGCUACAAUGGACGAUACAAACGGUUGCCAACUCGCGAGAGGGAGCUAAUCCCAUAAAGUCGUUCUCAGUUCGGAUUGUAGGCUGCAACUCGCCUACAUGAAGCCGGAAUCGCUAGUAAUCGCGGAUCAGCAUGCCGCGGUGAAUACGUUCCCCGGGCCUUGUACACACCGCCCGUCACACCACGAGAGUUUGUAACACCCAGAAGUCAGUGAGGUAAUCCUUCUGGAGC